CAGCAGGGUCAGAAGGGAGGUGGUCGCCCUCCGUCGUGGCCUGGCGUGGAUUCCGAGCGUUGGUGUCUGGCGGUUUCCGACCGUUGGUGUCUGGCACGCGCCACCCCGAUGUACCAGGUAAAGCCCUAUCACGGGGUCGGCGCCCCUCUCCGUGUGGAGCCCACCUGCAUGUACUGGCUCCCCAACAGGCACGGCAGGAGCGGCGGCCCAGCACUCGGCACUGGCCACUUGCAGACAAGAAGACAAGAAAAUGAUUUGAGGACAGCUUCAAUCGCGGUGUGAAGAAGAAAGCAGCAAAACGACCACUGAAAACAACGCCGGUGGCAAAACAUCCAAAGAAAGGGUCCCAAGCGGUACAUCGUCAUAGCUGGAAACAGUCAGAGCCACCAGCCAAUGAUCUUUUCAAUGCUGCGAAAGCUGCCGAAAGUGACAUGCAGUGUGGCCAUGAGCUCUGCCGGAAGUAACUUGUUGGUGUUAUCUCCUGAGUUAAAAUGUGAAGGGAUUUUUUUUUUUCAGAUGACUGAGAGUCUUCAGUUACUAGCCCUAGCCAGGGUUGAGUUCUCACCCACCUGUGCCGCCCUGCCUUGUUACCUGGAAGCUCAGCCUUGGGGACUGAGCAGGCCCUCACUGUCACUUUAAGAAGGGAUUCAGCCACUUUGUGCUCACCACCUCUGGGGAAGGUGUGAGAGGAGAGAAGGAAGUGGCUGUUUGGCUGCUGACAAUAUGAAGACUUCCUGUGAUGAGAACAGAGGCACAGGUGCCGGCCCUGCAGCCCCCAGAACCCGGACUGGAGGGGGCCAUGGGGCGCCGGACCCUGGCCCUGCCCUGGGUGCUGCUGACCCUGCGUGUCACUGCGGGUGAGUGCCGG
rnacentral:sRNA from 1 species